GUGGGGAAUAUUGCGCAAUGGGGGAAACCCUGACGCAGCGACGCCGCGUGAGCGAAGAAGGCCUUAGGGUUGUAAAGCUCUGUUUUAAGGGACGAAUGUCGUGGGGAGUAAUAUGCUCUGCGAAUGACGGUACCUUAAGAGGAAGCCCCGGCUAACUACGUGCCAGCAGCCGCGGUAAGACGUAGGGGGCGAGCGUUGUCCGGAAUUACUGGGCGUAAAGAGCACGUAGGCGGGAACUUAAGUCAGGUGUGAAAGACCGGGGCUCAACUCCGGGGUUGCACUUGAAACUGGGUUUCUUGAGGGCAGGAGAGGAAAGCAGAAUUCCUGGUGUAGCGGUGAAAUGCGUAGAAAUCAGGAGGAAUACCAGUGGCGAAGGCGGCUUUCUGGACUGACCCUGACGCUGAGGUGCGAAAGCGUGGGUAGCAAACAGGAUUAGAAACCCCAGUAGUCC
rnacentral:rRNA from 1 species